CCUGCUGGCUUCAGGAGGAAGGGAAAAAUUAAUGUGAAGAAACUAUUUUAGUAACUUGCCUGGAAAUCCAAGUACCUCUCUGAGCAGUUUGAACCACUUUUAAAUGAAAACUUCAGCCGAAAAAGAGCUGGGGCUUCACUACGGGCAGAUGUAAAACAGCAAGCAGCUACCGAGGUGGACCUGGAUUCAUAUUGAGCAGGUGUGAUAUGGUGUAAACUGGUUAUCAUGUUUGGGGUAACAGGACUCUGUCCUUUACAUAUGAACCACUUCUGGGUUAAGCCCUCUAGAGAAAGCAGUGGCUGCUGGCUCGUCCCUUCAGGGAGAUAAUGAACAGCAGAUGACUGUGCGGAAGGAUCCUUGCUACCUUCAGGAGGGAAGUGAUGCCAGGAACUGGUACUGCCAUGCAGGUUCUACACGCACAGUGACGAUGCACACUUGCCAUGAUGCAA